rnacentral:rRNA from 1 species
CCCUUAGAUGUUCUGGGCCGCACGCGCGCUACACUGAUGCAUUCAACGAGUCUAAAACCUGCUCUGAUAGGGGUGGGUAAUCUUUUGAAUGUGCAUCGUGAUUGGGAUAGAUGAUUGCAAUUUUUCAUCUUCAACGAGGAUUGCCUUGUAAGCGCACGUCAUCAGCGUGCAUUGAAUACGACCCUGUAUUCUGUACACACCGCCCGUCGCUCCUACCGAUUGAAGUUUUCGGUGAAUUUACUGGAGAUCCCUUUUGAAGGUGGUUCGCCACUGGAAGAAGUAUUCAAAAGUAAAUGAAUCGAAUGCUUUAGAGGAAGGAGAAGUCGUAACA